rnacentral:rRNA from 1 species
AGUGAACGCUGGCGGUAGGCCUAACACAUGCAAGUCGAACGGCAGCACAGUAAGAGCUUGCUCUUACGGGUGGCGAGUGGCGGACGGGUGAGGAAUACAUCGGAAUCUACUUUUUCGUGGGGGAUAGCGUAGGGAAACUUACGCUAAUACCGCAUACGACCUACGGGUGAAAGCAGGGGAUCUUCGGACCUUGCGCGAUUGAAUGAGCCGAUGUCGGAUUAGCUAGUUGGCGGGGUAAAGGCCCACCAAGGCGACGAUCCGUAGCUGGACUGAGAGGAUGAUCAGCCACACUGGAACUGAGACACGGUCCAGACUCCUACGGGAGGCAGCAGUGGGGAAUAUUGGACAAUGGGCGCAAGCCUGAUCCAGCCAUACCGCGUGGGUGAAGAAGGCCUUCGGGUUGUAAAGCCCUUUUGUUGGGAAAGAAAAGCAGCAGGUUAAUACCCCGCUGUUCUGACGGUACCCAAAGAAUAAGCACCGGCUAACUUCGUG